GGGCAUGCUAUACCAGCUUGUGAGGACUUGUCAGCAUUGACUUAUGCAGACAUGAAGAUUGACACCUUCUUUCUGUGAAAAUCCAGAGGGACAACUGGGUACCAAGCACCGAGAGUUUGGAAAGCAAAAUGUGCCAAGAUGUACCUUCCUGUGUGGCCCUGCAUGGCAGCCUUCUCACAGAUAAAGCUG